ensembl:lncRNA
CCCUGGAACCUGCAGAUAUAACCUUACAUGGCAAAUGGUGUUAUUACAUUAAGGAUCUUGAAUAGAGUUGCUUUUUCUGGAUUAUCCUGAUGGAUUUGCAAUGCAACCACAUGCAUCUUUAUCAGAAAGAGGCAAGGAAGUUUUGAAAUAGACACACAAGGAGGAAAAGGCAACGCAAAGCCAGCGGGGAGAGAUUAGAGUGUUGUAGCCCCAAGCCAAGGACACCAGCAGCCACCAGAGGUUGGAAGAUGCAAGGAAGGUCUCUGAGAUCUUUGGAGGGGGUGUGGGCCUGCCCACACUUUAGCCCUGUGGAAUGAAUUUUGGACUUCUGAAGUCCAGAACUGUGAGAGAAUAAAUCUGUUUUGUUUAAAGCCACCAAGUUUGCCAUAAUUUGCUACAGCAGCCACAGAAUUCACCCAACCAAAUUUGUUAUCCGAAUUCAUCCUUCAUCCCACCAACAUUCACAGGGUAAGGUCCCUGGGAAGCCAAGAAGGAACAAGCCAGAUGUGGUUCCUCUUUUGUGGAGUGUUUAUUCCAGGCAGGUAGACAGUAGCUCACAAGGACAGAAGCAAGGGCAGAGUGUGACAAGUGCCAGGAAGGGAAUAAUGCAGGACCUGUGCCCGGGGCCAGGGCAGUGAGGAUGCAGGUGGAAAAAAGCAGGUGAUGUUACAGGUGGUCAUGAGAGCCCUUUCUGGGAAGAUGGCAUUUGAGAACAGACCUGAAGGGGACAUGGAAAGAUGAGCCCAAGGAUAACCCAGGCAGAGGGGAUGGCCCCGUGCAGCCUGGAGUCAGGCAGGAGCUUGGUGAGCUGGAGAAACAGCAGCCAGCAUGGUGAGCAAGGACCCAGUGGGGAGGUGAGGGCAGGAAGGAGCUAGGGAUCGAGAUGGAGUCAUCUUGAAUUGGAAGGUGUGGUGCCAAGCAAGGGGGUGGCCUGAGCUUCUGAAUCAGAACCUGCAACACUUAACAUUCCCACAUUUACUCCUCACAACACACAAAGCAGGGGAAAGAAAGAAAGAAAGAGAGAGAGUGAGAAUAACAGGACAUCAAAUGAUCAAGGGUCCAUGCUUGACUGAGGCCUUUGGUUCUCCAAGUGUGCUCCCUGGUCCAACAGCAGCAGCCCCUGGCUACUUAUUAGAAAUGCAAAUUCUCACUUGCCUUCCCAUCCUAGACUUACUGAGUCAGAAACUAUGGGGCUAGAGCCCAGCAAUCCAGGAGAUUCUGAUGCAUGCUCCAAUCUGAGGACCCCUGGCUUUGGCUGGUCAAAGCGGAAGCACUGCUCACUGUGCCAGGAGCCCAGAUAAGAUAAAGCUGCCAUCCUGAGGAGUGUGUCGUGGGAGGGAGGGUAAGGUGAGUGCUUGCAGCAACUAAGUACCAGGAAGAACUGCCUCCCUGGGCAAUUCAGACAAAACCAAGGGGUCACAGGAAGAGGAGUGCUAGAAGCAUUCACAGAAAAAUCAAAGGAAAGGACAAACAAAAGAGAAAAAGAGGUGGGGAGGAGGCCAGAGGAGAGAAAAAUCAAAUCAGAACAGGAAAAAAGAAAAAGUCCAGGGAGCUGGAUGUCCACCUCCACGAAGUCCUUAGUGAUUUACUAGCUCCUUUUUCUGGUCU